CUUACACUUUUCCUGCUCACUUCUCCGCCUACCACAGCAAAAUCGAAGAGGCACAGGCCCAAUUCAAUGCCCCUCAUAGAGCAGCACUGGGGACCUGAUGCACAUGCACAGCGAGCGCCAUGCACAUAUCUGUUUUCAAUGCGUUCCUAUGAGUUUUAGCCUCAAGUGACCAAGUUAUACUCAGGCAGUGCUGCAGUAGCUCCUCUAUCUUAAUAAACAGCAAUUUACAGGACAGGGUUAUUAUGUUAUUAUUAUUAUUAUGUUAUUUAUAUAGCACCAACAAAUUCCGCAGCACUUUACAAUGGGUGGACGAACAGACAUGUAGUUGUAACCAGACAAGUUGGACACACAGGAACAGAGGGGUUGAGGGCCCUGCUCAAUGAACUUAGAUGCUAGAGGGAGUGGGGUAAAGUGACACAAAAGAUAAGGAUAGUAUUAGACUAAUGAUAGUAGCAAGAGAGGAAUCAGUUGGGAGCUAUUAACAGUUUAAUUGGGUUAAAAAGACAUGGGCACUGCACCCAG